CCUACCGCGCUCGCGUCUCCUCUGGCUCCUCUGCCUAAGGGCCCCUCGCCACCGCCACCAUGGACGCCAUCAAGAAGAAGAUGCAGAUGCUGAAGCUCGACAAAGAGAACGCCUUGGAUCGAGCAGAGCAGGCGGAGGCUGACAAGAAGGCUGCGGAAGACCGGAGCAAGCAGCUGGAAGAUGAGCUGGUGUCACUGCAAAAGAAACUCAAGGGCACUGAAGAUGAACUGGACAAAUACUCCGAGGCUCUCAAAGAUGCCCAGGAGAAACUGGAGCUGGCGGAGAAAAAGGCCACAGAUGUAAGUGCACGCUCACACUGCCUCCCUCACCCCCUGACCGCGUGGCCGCUCUGGGGGUCACCACAGGGGCUGCAGAGCAAAGGAAGAGGGUGAUCCUCCUCCUACAGGACACCUGCACACAGCCUGGCCAUAGCCCAGAGCACUGGAUGCCGCCUCUGCUGCUGCGCACAUUUCAUUUAUAUUCUGUCCUUUCCCCUUUUUCUCCUCUUCUUUACCUCCUCCCCUUUGGUUGGAGGUGGGUGGGUGAGAAGCUGGGGAACACGGCCUCUGAAAUGGGGACUGCUGGAAGUGAACUUCGCCUCCUGCUGGUAUAAAACCGCUGAAGUGUAUGUCAUCACCAAGGUCUGUACAAAACAGAAUCCCUAGUGUUCUUGUUUGCCACCCUACCCCCAAAACCCCCGGUGGUUUUCGCUGAUGGACCUAGUCUGAGUGGGUUCAGAGAGCCUGACCUUUAAAUGGACACCCUUUUACUUCCGAUGCUAAACUUGAGGGCUACAGUGACACUUUGAGGCUCUUUUUCUCACUAGGCAAGCCUUGAGACCUGCCCAGGGAAGAUGAUACGCGCUUCGGUCUGCAGUCUGAAGCAUUAGAUCCAGAAAGUACGCAGGGAGUUAUAUAUAACUCAGUGCUUUAUAUGGAGUAGGGAGCUGGCUGCCCCCUGCCCGCCCCACCCCCACCUGUCAGCCCUCUGACAACCACCACUUGCGUAUUUCCAAGGGGGGGGGGGUGAUAGACAGUUCCAGCUCUGCUAAGCACCCUCUCCACUCCAGAGCUAGCCACUUCUGUCUAGAAAGUCAAGCUGAGGGUCAGUUUUCCUGUGCACUGACUCCACACCACUGCAUUCCACCGCAGAAGCCAAUUAAGCCUAGGGGCCCAAUUAGAAAAGAAUUCCUUGGGAAGCAGCUAACAAUUCCAAGAAUGUGUGAGUAGCAGAGACAGCUACACCCAGAGGUUGGACCCCCAGGUUCAACAGCAGUUUGUCAUUUUUGGUCAGUUUAUUUUUAUUUAUUUAUUUAGUUUUGGAUAAUGUGUAAUGCAGAUUACCCAAGGACUUUGAAAUCUGCACAGGCCUUUGUAUCAUGAAAGGCUGGAGAUUUAUCUAGUGCUCUUGGUAGUAAGCCACCAGACAACCAACAGUGGGAUCAGACAAAAAGAAAAACUUCACUGACAAUUACCUUUUCUGAAAAUGGGGGUUUGGGGGAAAGCACUGGUUUAGCUAAAACCUACCUGAGUUUAUAAAAAAAAAAAAAAAAAAAAAAAAACAA
rnacentral:lncRNA from 1 species